UUUCUGGUUGAUCCUGCCGGACCUGACUGCUAUCGGAUUGAUACUAAGCCAUGCUAGUCUUUGUAGUAAUACAAGGCAUACGGCUCAGUAACGCGUAGUCAACCUACCCUAUGGACGGGGAUAAUCUCGGGAAACUGAGCAUAAUACCCGGCAGACCACUUAUCCUGGAAUGGUUAGUGGUUAAAAUGAUUCGUCGCCAUAGGAUGGGACUGCGGCCUAUCAGCUUGUUGGUGAGGUAAUGGCCCACCAAGGCGAUUACAGGUACGGGCUCUGAGAGGAGAGGCCCGGAGAUGGGUACUGAGACAAGGACCCAGGCCCUAUGGGGCGCAGCAGGCGAGAAAACUUUGCAAUGUGCGAAAGCACGACAAGGUUAAUCCGAGUGAUUUCUGCUAAAGGAAUCUUUUGUUAGUUCUAAAAAUACUAGUGAAUAAGGGGUGGGCAAGUUCUGGUGUCAGCCGCCGCGGUAAAACCAGCACCUCAAGUGGUCAGGAGGAUUAUUGGGCCUAAAGCAUCCGUAGCCUGUUCUAUAAGUUUGCGGUUAAAUCUAUACGCUCAACGUAUAGGCUGCCGUAAAUACUGUAGAACUAGGGAGUGGGAGAGGUAGACGGUACUCGAUAGGAAGGGGUAAAAUCCUUUGAUCUAUUGAUGACCACCUGUGGCGAAGGCGGUCUACCAGAACACGUUCGACGGUGAGGGAUGAAAGCUGGGGGAGCAAACCGGAUUAGAUACCCGGGUAGUCCCAGCUGUAAACGAUGCAGACUCGAUGAUGCAAUGGCAUAGAGCUAUUGCAGUAUCGCAGGGAAGCCGUUAAGUCUGCCGCCUGGGAAGUACGUACGCAAGUAUGAAACUUAAAGGAAUUGGCGGGGGAGCACCACAAGGGGUGAAGCCUGCGGUUC
rnacentral:rRNA from 1 species